rnacentral:tRNA from 1 species
UUGUCUCCGGAGCUCUAGGAGCGUAGGACUGAAGAUCCUAAGGUGAAGAGGCAGU